rnacentral:lncRNA from 1 species
GGUAAGUUAUUUCAUAAAUGAAGUCGGCCACUAGUAAUCUGUCAACUUCUUCAUCGAUGGCCUUCUGUCGCUAAGAAGCGAAAUUUCUUCUCUUUUGUCUUUCCGACUUGUGAUUGGUGUUGACAUUUAGUCGGUAGACAAUCAUAUUAAGAGGGAUGUCUAGCAUGUCUGAAGUAGAUCAGACGAAGACAUCUAUAUUCUUUCUCAAAAAAUUGAUCAGCU